rnacentral:rRNA from 1 species
AUUGAACGCUGGCGGCAGGCCUAACACAUGCAAGUCGAGCGGCAGCGGGAAAGUAGCUUGCUACUUUUGCCGGCGAGCGGCGGACGGGUGAGUAAUGCCUGGGGAUCUGCCCAGUCGAGGGGGAUAACUACUGGAAACGGUAGCUAAUACCGCAUACGCCCUACGGGGGAAAGCAGGGGACCUUUGGGCCUUGCGCGAUUGGAUGAACCCAGGUGGGAUUAGGUAGUUGGUGAGGUAAUGGCUCACCAAGGCGACGAUCCCUAGCUGGUCUGAAAGGAUGAUCAGCCACACUGGAACUGUGACACGGGCCAGACUCCGACGGGAGGCAGCAGUGGGGAAUAUUGCACUAUGGGGGAAACCCUGAUGCAGCCAUGCCGCGUGUGUGUCGAAGGCCUUCGGGUUGUAAAGCACUUUCAGCGAGGGGGAAGGGUCAGUAGCUAAUAUCUGCUGGCUGUGACGUUACUCGCAGAAGAAGCACCGGCUAACUCCGUGCCAGCCGCCGCCGUAA